AGGUAUAACAGAUUGUGAAGAGGAUGAUUUUUGACCAAAACGCCUUCAUCAUGAAUAUCCCGAGGAACCGCAUCGUGCGGAACAACAUCCACAACGGCGUUGACAGAGAUGACGUCAUCAGUGACGUCAUCGAAAAAGAUGACGACUCCGACGUAGAAAUGGAAGACCUCGAUAUCAAACGUGAGACAGAUUCCUUCGGCGACUCAGAAGUUGGAGAUGCUGUGGAGCCAGUGCGGUAGUGGCACGAAAUUCGCGAGCUUUGUGCACGUGUGCUGAAAUCAACAACAGCGGAUCAGACAUUGCUGUCAUCAGCUGAUCCCUGGAAGGGACACUGACAAUUUUCUUUUACCUUGUGCCAUUAGAGUGUUUGUAAAUAAUCACACACAGACGUCAACUCGAAACAGAAUAUGAAUAAAGAUAUAAUCAUGA